rnacentral:rRNA from 1 species
AACGAACGCUGGCGGCAUGCCUAACACAUGCAAGUCGAACGAGACCUUCGGGUCUAGUGGCGCACGUGUGCGUAACGCGUGGGAACCUGCCCUUAGGUUCGGAAUCACUCCCCUAAAGGGGUGCUAAUACCGGAUAAUGUCUUCGGACCAAAGAUUUAUCGCCUUUGGAUGGGCCCGCGUUGGAUUAGCUAGUUGGUAGGGUAAAAGCCUACCAAGGCGACGAUCCAUAGCUGGUCUGAGAGGAUGAUCAGCCACACUGGGACUGAGACACGGCCCAGACUCCUACGGGAGGCAGCAGUGGGGAAUAUUGGACAAUGGGCGAAAGCCUGAUCCAGCAAUGCCGCGUGAGUGAUGAAGGCCUUAGGGUUGUAAAGCUCUUUUACCCGGGAUGAUAAUGACAGUACCGGGAGAAUAAGCUCCGGCUAACUCCGUG